GGCACAGUGGUGUAGUGGUUAGCAUGUUUGCCUUGCACCUCCGGGGUUGGGGCUUCAAAUUCCGCCUCCACCC